rnacentral:rRNA from 1 species
AGAGCGAACGCUGGCGGCAGGCUUAACACAUGCAAGUCGAGCGGGCGUAGCAAUACGUCAGCGGCAGACGGGUGAGUAACGCGUGGGAACGUACCUUUUGGUUCGGAACAACCCAGGGAAACUUGGGCUAAUACCGGAUAAGCCCUUACGGGGAAAGAUUUAUCGCCGAAAGAUCGGCCCGCGUCUGAUUAGCUAGUUGGUGAGGUAAUGGCUCACCAAGGCGACGAUCAGUAGCUGGUCUGAGAGGAUGAUCAGCCACAUUGGGACUGAGACACGGCCCAAACUCCUACGGGAGGCAGCAGUGGGGAAUAUUGGACAAUGGGCGCAAGCCUGAUCCAGCCAUGCCGCGUGAGUGAUGAAGGCCCUAGGGUUGUAAAGCUCUUUCGCACGCGAGGAUGAUGACGCUAGCGUGAGAAGAAGCCCGGCUAACUUCGCGCCAGCAGCCGC